rfam:Classical swine fever virus strain HCLV, complete genome.
AGUAGGACUAGCAAAACGGAGGGACUAGCCAUAGUGGCGAGCUCCCUGGGUGGUCUAAGUCCUGAGUACAGGACAGUCGUCAGUAGUUCGACGUGAGCAGAAGCCCACCUCGAGAUGCUACGUGGACGAGGGCAUGCCCAAGACACACCUUAACCCUAGCGGGGGUCGCUAGGGUGAAAUCACACCACGUGAUGGGAGUACGACCUGAUAGGGCGCUGCAGAGGCCCACUAUUAGGCUAGUAUAAAAAUCUCUGCUGUACAUGGCACAUGGAGUU